AUUGAACGCUGGCGGCAGGCCUAACACAUGCAAGUCGAGCGGAGCGGCGGACGGGUGAGUAAUGCCUAGGAAUCUGCAUGGUAGUGGGGGAUAACGUCCGGAAACGGGCGCUAAUACCGCAAACUAUUAGCUUAGCCUAGGACGGAGUAGGUAGGUGGUGGGGUCAAGGCAUACAAAGGCGACGAGCCGUACCUGGUCUGAGAGGAUGAUCAGUCAAACUGUAACUGAGACACGGUCCAGACUCCUACGGUAGGCAGCAGUGGGGAAUAUUGGACAAUGGGCGAAAGCCUGAGCCAGCCAUGCCGCGUGUGUGAAGAAGGUCUUCGGAUUGUAAAGCACUUUAAGUUGGGAGGCGUUACCAACAGAAUAAGCACCGGCUAACUUCGUGCCAGCAGCCGCGGUAAUAC
rnacentral:rRNA from 1 species